rnacentral:rRNA from 1 species
UACGUAGGGGGCAAGCGUUGUCCGGAAUCAUUGGGCGUAAAGCGCGCGUAGGCGGACCUGCAAGUCGGGGGUGAAAGCCCGAGGCUCAACCUCGGAACUGCCUUCGAUACUGCGGGUCUCGAGUCCGGGAGAGGUGAGUGGAAUUCCUAGUGUAGAGGUGAAAUUCGUAGAUAUUAGGAAGAACACCAGUGGCGAAGGCGGCUCACUGGCCCGGUACUGACGCUGAGGCGCGAAAGCGUGGGGAGCAAACAGG